AAUUUAACUUGGGAGUCAGAACAUGGGUGAUAAGGUCCGUGUUCGAAAGGGAAACAGCCCAGACCACCAGCUAAGGUCCCAAAAUAUAUGUUAAGUGGAAAAGGAUGUGGCGUUGCCCAGACAACUAGGAUGUUGGCUUAGAAGCAGCCAUCAUUUAAAGAGUGCGUAAUAGCUCACUAGUCGAGUGACACUGCGCCGAAAAUGUACCGGGGCUAAACAUAUUACCGAAGCUGUGGAUUGUCCUUUGGACAAUGGUAGGAGAGCGUUCUAAGGGCGUCGAAGCAUGAUCGCAAGGACAUGUGGAGCGCUUAGAAGUGAGAAUGCCGGUGUGAGUAGCGAAAGACGGGUGAGAAUCCCGUCCACCGAUUGACUAAGGUUUCCAGAGGAAGGCUCGUCCGCUCUGGGUUAGUCGGGUCCUAAGCUGAGGCCGACAGGCGUAGGCGAUGGAUAACAGGUUGAUAUUCCUGUACCACCUAAGUAGGAUAGGCGAAGCGUGCGAUUGGAUUGCACGUCUAAGCAGUAAGGCUGAGUAUUAGGCAAAUCCGGUACUCGUUAAGGCUGAGCUGUGAUGGGGAGAAGACAUUGUGUCUUCGAGUCGUUGAUUUCACACUGCCGAGAAAAGCCUCUAGAUAGAAAAUAGGUGCCCGUACCGCAAACCGACACAGGUAGUCAAGAUGAGAAUUCUAAGGUGAGCGAGCGAACUCUCGUUAAGGAACUCGGCAAAAUGACCCCGUAACNNNNNNNNNNNNNNNNNNNNNNNNNNNNNNNNNNNNNNNNNNNNNNNNNNNNNNNNNNNNNNNNAAGCCCCAGUAAACGGCGGCCGUAACUAUAACGGUCCUAAGGUAGCGAAAUUCCUUGUCGGGUAAGUUCCGACCCGCACGAAAGGCGUAACGAUUUGGGCACUGUCUCAACGAGAGACUCGGUGAAAUCAUAGUACCUGUGAAGAUGCAGGUUACCCGCGACAGGACGGAAAGACCCCGUGGAGCUUUACUGUAGCCUGAUAUUGAAAUUCGGCACAGCUUGUACAGGAUAGGUAGGAGCCUUUGAAACGUGAGCGCUAGCUUACGUGGAGGCGUUGGUGGGAUACUACCCUAGCUGUGUUGGCUUUCUAACCCGCACCACUUAUCGUGGUGGGAGACAGUGUCAGGCGGGCAGUUUGACUGGGGCGGUCGCCUCCUAAAAGGUAACGGAGGCGCUCAAAGGUUCCCUCAGAAUGGUUGGAAAUCAUUCAUAGAGUGUAAAGGCAUAAGGGAGCUUGACUGCGAGACGGCUUAUCUCCCCCAAGAGUUCACAUCGACGGGGAGGUUUGGCACCUCGAUGUCGGCUCAUCGCAUCCUGGGGCUGUAGUCGGUCCCAAGGGUUGGGCUGUUCGCCCAUUAAAGCGGUACGCGAGCUGGGUUCAGAACGUCGUGAGACAGUUCGGUCCCUAUCCGUCGUGGGCGUAGGAAAUUUGAGAGGAGCUGUCCUUAGUACGAGAGGACCGGGAUGGACAUACCUCUGGUGUACCAGUUGUCGUGCCAACGGCAUAGCUGGGUAGCUAUGUAUGGACGGGAUAAGUGCUGAAAGCAUCUAAGCAUGAAGCCCCCCUCAAGAUGAGAUUUCCCAACUUCGGUUAUAAGAUCCCUC
rnacentral:rRNA from 1 species